rnacentral:lncRNA from 1 species
CAAGCUACUACCAUCGAAACACCUCUUAAUAGUACGGUACAUGAGCUACAAACUAGCAAAACCUAUACUACAAUAAGUGUCCUUCAUCUCCUUGUGACACUUGGUUCUAGAAAGGUCCUUAGCCUUAUCGCAUUAGCUCCAUGUCCGUUUUUUCAAUUCAAAUUAAGGGGUCACAUUCCAAUAUACUCAUGAUGAGAUAACCAAGAUAUAUCUGCUUCAAAGCACACGGGUUAAUCACAAGUAUAAGGUUGUCAUUUAUCACCAAAACACACCCUUACCAACAGUGCAAAAGUGCCUAGAUGACACCUAGGUGCUUCAAUCUCCCCCUUUUUGGUGAUAGAUGACAACACAUAAGUAGAGAUAUAAAAUUUGAAUUUAAAACACAAUUCAAAUAAGUAAUGCAAGACAAGAUAAGGAGAAGGUAAACAAGCACACAUGCAUUAACUUAAAAGUAACCACACACAUGAGUAGACAUGUCAACAACCCAACAAGCACAAAAGCCAAAUGACAUGUCUAUACAUGAAGAUUCACAAAAGAACCAACAAACUCCCUCCAAGCUCCCCCUAUCUCUACUCC